rnacentral:lncRNA from 1 species
GGUCACGGCGAUUAGGCGGACGUUCUAGGUCUCUGUCGUCGCGCCUCUCGCGGGAAUCUCUCUGAGGAGGCUGCUGCUGCUCUUGCGGCUCGUGUUCCUGCGGUGGAGGUGGAAGAGAGGGGGUAUUCUCCGGGGGACGGAUGUCGACGGAAUCCGGCGGAGGGAGCGUCACAUCGGCCAUUUAAGAGAAGAAGAUCGGAACCCUAAAUCGGGGUGUCAGGUUUGGUGCGAUACACACUCUCGCGUUUUAUAGGUCUGCCGUUACAACUUACAGUGAACCAUGACUCGCAUACCUAUCUCGGUCUUUAGAUAUUUUUUUUCAGAGAAAAUCAAUAAUUUAUAAUGUUUGUUGACCAAAAUAUUUAUCUAAUCAAAAGUCUUCAGAUUGGCAAAAAUAAUAAUAAUAAUAUCUAAUCCUUAAAAUUAAUAAUAAUGAUAUUUAAAUUUAUCAAAAUAUUAACAAUAAUUUUAAAAUAAAAAUGUAUAUAAGAUUUUUAAUUAUUUAUGUGUAUAUUAUUAUAAAAUAUAUAUAAAUUUUAUAUAUACUAUUAUAAAAUGAUUAUAUAAUAGAUAAAUUUAUUUUUUAUAUAUAGAUAUUACUAUUUUGAAAUAUUUAUCGAUAAAAAUUAAAGAUCCGAAUAUCCAAACUAAAAAAAUAAGAUAUCUAAAUCCAUAUUCGGUUUUGACGGAUCCAACAUUUUAUUAUCCAGAUUUGAAUCCGUUCGCUCUGGAUAUCUAAAUUUUUGGAAUGGAUCCGGAUCGGAUCUCGGAUCGAAUCAGGGUCUCCGAUAAUAAUUCCAGGCCUAUCAAACACCAUCCAAAAAAUAAUACAUAGUCAAAUAUUCACACAGAUUUAAAACUUUUAUAUUCAGAAAAUAGAAUUAAAAUCGAUCCGAAGCAAUUCAAAUGCCCGAAAAUAUCAAAAUAUUAUUUUUUACUUUUUUCUUGCGUCAAAUAGUAAACUUUAGAUCCACUCAGACCUUAAAGUUAGAGUUUAAUCUUACGUUUUGAGCAAACACAUAAAUCGACUUUUUUUCUAUGAUUCAAAAGAUUGUAAAGACAAUACAAUGAAGAUUAAGAGAAUGUAUAAAUUUGAAUACAACAAAGUAUCAGUUUUCACCUAGAGAGACUAGGGAAAAGCCUGCUGAUACGGUGAUUUCAUUUCCAUCAGAUUAAGCUGUAGCUUAGGAGAGGCUGAACGAGUUGGCUAUAGUAUCAUCUUAACAUUUUUUUUUUUUUUGGAUAAAAUUAACUGCAUGACUUUGAAUUUCUAUUUCGUUUUUUUUUGACAAGGUGUUCGUUGGAAUUUGAAAACUAUUAAGAACAACGUUUCUUCCUUUGAUGAUUGUUUAUUAAUUUAUGCAAAGUUUAUACAUUUUAUCGUCCAUUUUAUUAAGAAGAAAACAUAUGACCAGCAUAGAAUCCAAUCGACAGCAACAGAACCGCAGCCGCCGGAGCAACCACACCAACUGUGAGUUCUCUCUGAUUAUUCUUCAUCAUUGUCAUAUAUCCUCCAAGAUUCUCCUUGUAUGCAUUCAUUUUACUUCUAUAAUCUUGCUUAACUCCAUCACAAACGUUUCCCUUAAGAGCUUCUUCUUUCUCAGCCCGUUUCUUGUCUUCCUCUCUAGAUGGCGUUGGCAAUUGAGCUUUCUCAGCAUGUUUCUCUAGUUCCGCUUCUUUCUCUCUUGUUGGCUUUGUUGGUUGAACCUUCUCGGCUUCCUUAUGAACCGGGGGAGGUGUUGCUGCGGUUGUAACGAUGGGAGAAGUUUGUUUCCCCAUUGGCUCGAGUCUAGGGAGCUUCACAACAAGACUUGUGCCUACAAAUAUGGCAGCAAUGGAGUCAACGUUGAUGUUUUCCGGAAUAGGGAACUCCUUGCGGAGACGGAUCCAUCUGUUGGCUCCUGCAUGACGUUCUCCCAUCACUCUUACCUGCCUCGUUGAGGUUACUUGCACUUUAAGCUGCUCUUUCCUAAACCCUGUUUUAUGAAAAACCGAUCAAAAUAAUUCAAGAACCAUGAGUAAACAAAAAUCACAAUGCAAGUAAUACGAGAGAUUGUUGAUUAGUAAUAAUACCUGGAAGGUUAAUUGUGAGAAUUUCGAAUCCCUGUUCACUUUUCCAGUUAAAGACUGGAUCGAACUCAUCGUAGAUGCGGUUGGCAGUAGCAUGAUCAGCUUUUCUCUCCAUUUUCUGAAUUUUCUUGGUUUGUAUUUGGAUUUGGAAUUAAGGAUAUUAAUUUGGGUUAUGGUGAUAAGAGGGAUCCAAUCGAUUUCUUUAUGUACUAAUGAACAAAUGUAUUUUUUCAUAAGUUGUUUUCUUUGAGGUUAGGUUAUUCCUUUACUUAGCCUAACUGUUAUGGUCCCCUUCUAUAUUGUUCUUCCCCUUUUAUAUUCAAGUUUAUUUUCCAAAUCUCUAGAAAAUAAACAAAAAGGUUGAGAAAUGCGUUGCUUUAAAGAGAACAAAUAACAAGUUUUUCAGAUUGGACAACCAAAGUUUUUCUAUAAGAUUAUGCGUUUUUUUCCAAAGGAUUCUCUCAUUCCAAUAUAAUGCAAUGAAUUUUGACAUCAGCCUCAGUUCCAUUUCCAAAUUACCAAAAGCUUAAAUAGAUGUCACAACAGUCUUUACCAACAACCCAACAACGUUUAAUCAUCAAAAUGCACCAGACUCUUACCACUUAACAAUCCACUAGACUUUUUGAAAGAUUCAAGAAGUUUGAGGAUUUCCCAUUUGCCAAAACAGCAGUAAACAUUCUAGAGAUCAUUUGGAUUCGAACAAAAGGUGACAUGAGGUCGACCCUCUGGCCACACUAGCCAACUCGUUGAGCAUCUCUCGCCUCUUUUCCAACUUUUCCAGCUGUUUCGGCCCCGACGCAUGUUGGGUAGAAAGUUGCUUUCUUCAACUGUUUAGCAUUCUUGAGGAUGUAAGUGGCCACUUGUUUCUCAUCUUCUCGUUGCCAUCCGUAUCUUGUCCACACCAAUGUCUCCAGAUGAAGCAACAGACAUUUUGGUACACAUUUCGGCUGAGUCCAUUCCCAGCUCACUGGAGAACGUUCACGAUAACGAUAUGACUGACAAAAGCGCAAUUAAUAUGAUAUUAGAUCAUCAUAAUAUAUGAAUAAAAAGAAGCUCUGGAAACAACUUGUGGUAAAUUGCUAACACCAAAGAGCUUGAGGAUUUGCAAUUUAGGAGAGCUAUCGAGCAUGAAGGAAAGUAGAUUCCACCCAUUUAUUUCAUUUAUAUGCAGCUCCAAAGAGACCAGCUGAUAGAAGAUGCUACCAGUAGGACACUUAAUCUGUGGAUAGAUGGUUAAGCAUUAGUACAGAAAAAACAAUGGCAGAUACAAAAACGGUGUUAAAUUUUACCUCUAAGGGUAAGUGAAAGGAAAGACAUUUGGGUGAAGUUAGAGAUGCAAUGAUGUUCUCAUUGGCUAUAUGAGAAACAUUUUUGAUAUUUGCUUCCACCAGCUCUGGCGCAUUCUCAAUUAGACAGAAGUCAAUAAAACCGAGGCAUUCGAUGCUCAAGUACUUCAAAGAUGGUGCAUUAAUCACAUAGCCUCCAUCAUUUACAUCUGUGCUACAAUCCUCUUCUAUGGUUAGCCUCUGCAGUGAUGGCACUGCAAUAGAGUAAGUCUCCACAUUUGCAUUGCUAUAUCGUUUCACAACCAAAUCUUGAAGCCUAGGGCAGCCAGAAAAAAGGUUGCAAACAGAUUCUUCAUCUUUGAAUUCCACGUAGUAAAGAUGCAGCUUUCUAGGGGCAUUGAAACAAACCCGAGAAGGGAAGCUUUAAUACCUCGAGUGUAUUGUUGUAGCUACACAAUACACUUGGAAACUUUACUGUCUCUUGAUCCUCACGGAAGAGAUGCAACACCAAUUCACGCACAUGGCGUGAAAAUGCAAUUCCAAUCAAGAAACCAAUAUCCGAACGACCUUUUGUAUCUUCGAUGUCCAAAUGCAAACUUUCCAGAACUGGAGCUUUAUGCAAAAAUCAGCGACCUGUAAACAGCCUCUGAAGAGACAUGUUCCAUAUCAAAUUCAAACUCGAGCUUUGGCACCAUCUUCCAAAGAGAUCUCCACCGUUUGGACAAAACACUCGUUGCUAUGACAUCUUUUGUUGGAACAUAAGACAAUAUAUGCAGGAGCAAAGCUUCAGGCAACUCACUGAUCCUAUCCUCAUUCAUACCAUAAGACAAUAUAUGCUGUAACAAAAAAAUAAAAAUCAAAUAACUAAAGAUAUAUAGGUUUUAGGGUUGAAACAAAUUAGGAUUGGAUCUUUACAGUUAAUAAAACCAGAGAAAUGGAUUCCAACCAAAGCACAUAAAAAUGGAUUGCAAACAGAGAGACAUAUACCGUUUUCGUUCCAUUUCCGUGAACAGAAACAAACAAUAAUUCCUUCAGAUUAAGAUGCGCUCCGAACGCAAAGACAAACACAUAACACAGCCUACACACGAAUCUGGCUAAAGCUUAGAGAUGUCGUCAAUUGUGUUUAGUAGUAAAAGGAUGAGCGAGCCGCAAGAGAAAAAGGAAAACAAACGGAGAAACAACAGUGAAAAAAGUAGAAAGAAUCUGGAGACAAGGAAGACGAGAAGUCAAGUGAAAGAGGAUACUGAAACCGACCGCUUUUCUUUUGGGUUUACAAUCAAACCGAAUCAAACGAAAAGCGAGGAACCAAACUGAUUAACCUAAUCCGGAUCGGAUUCGAGUAUGCUGUUAGUGUUAAACCCUGGCCGUCUUUUGCAUUGUAUAAUAUUUAGUUAGUUACAUAGUUAGUUAGUUAGUUACCUACGAUUUGACGGACAUAAAUAAUAUUUUUUUUAAAUAAAAAAUCUAAUGUAAUAUCUAUUUUAUGUUCUGACACGUGCAAUAUUUUUUAAUUAAAUUUAAAUUUUAUUUGUUAUAUAUUUUCUAAAUAAUAAGAUUUUAUAUAUUUAUUCAUUUUUUAUUUCUUUAUUACUUUAAAAAAUAUAAGCAUAACUUUUGUAAUAUUUUUAUUAGAGCUUUUAUCAACAACUACAAUAAAUAGUUAAUGCAUGCUUUAAUAUAAUUUCUUACAGUCUGAUUAAAUUUAUAUGUUAUGUAAUAUUGAACCUUUUUAUUUUAAAAAGUCAAUUUAUUUAUACUACAUGAUAUUUACACCUAUCAGUAAUAUAUUCUAAAAUGAUAUGUACAUGAUAACAUACAUGAUAUUUGCUAAAAGUUAUAUAUAUGUACAUGACAAUAAUUGCUAAAAAUCACUAAACAUUUCAUCGCUUUAUAUGGUUUGGAAUAAAUCACCAUGUAGGUUAUUUUAACGUUAAACAUGCAAUAUUCUGAAAUAAAUAAUUUAAUAAUUCUUAUUGGAGAAUUCAUAUAUAAUUAUAAACAACUGUCACUGAAAUAGUUAGGAUACAUUACAAAAAUUUUGGCACUCCAUAUAUAUAGAGUCGAUAUUGCUUGUAUUAUUCAUAAAAGUCAAUCUCUUAUGCAUGUCUUUUCUUUGUAAAACUGAAAAAUUGGAUAUUCAUAAAAAAAAAUUGGUUACAUAUUAUUUAUUAUAAAAAUUUAUGGAAUAAAUAGUGUAUACAAAGUUAAUCUUACGACACUAAAAAGGCUUAAUGCUCAAUAGCCAAGGUGUCCACGUAUUUAAUUAAAUCGACCACUCACAAAGAUUUUAAUUGGCCACGUCACAAGAGCUUUCUCCUUUUAAAACAAAAAUUGGUCCUUCUUUUGGGCUGAGUUUACAUUUUUAAACGUUCCAAUUCAAGCCCAAGCUUACUUUAGUCCCGGAAGCGUUGGUUUUCAUCUUCUCCGACUCUUCCACUUUGUCGUUACGCCGUUAUGCCGUUACGGUAACCCACUCUUCAACAAUCUGUUAUGAUCGUAAAUCAUUUUUAAUGGUUUCUUUCCACACCAAUCUGUUAUGAUCUUAAAUAAAACGCUUCAUCUGAUCUUAGAUGCUCAAUUAGUGAGUACUCUAGGAUCUGGUUUACAUAUGUUUGUUCUAUAUUUGGGUCUUGGUGUUGCUUUAUUCACCAUAAAACCAAAUGAUUUGCAUGCGGGUAGAUUUAAAAAGUUUUAUAAAUGUCACAAUUCAUUUGCAGAGAAGUCCUUCGUGGCUUGAUAAACCUAGCAUAUUGCCACAGGGUCAGAUAGAAACCAUCCUUUGGGGUUUAGAACAUCUUAUGGAAAACUCCAUCUUUACUGUAUCUCAAGGGCAGCUGAAAAUUCCAUUUGCCCAACUUUUUACGGACAAUUCAAACUUAUUUGAUGUUUGCUAACAAAUCUUCUUCCUGUUUUUUCUUUAUCUAGGUGGGAGCUAACUUACGGAGUGUAGAUUUUGGAAUAACUCUGACACAUAGAGAAAAAACAAUUUAGCAGCAAGAGAUUGCUAAUUGCUGCCUCUAUGCAGCCAGUCUCUCUGCCCGAAAAAUGGAAGAACUGGAGACAUGUUUGGUGAUGAUAAUAGAUUCAUUGCUAAACACGUAAAUCAGAUCAAAGGCUGUUUAUUAUCACACUUAGUCACUCACAAUACCUCAACUUCUUCACAAUUCUGAUUCUUGAUUCGGUACGUCUUAUAUGCGUCUUCUGAAUAAUUCAAUGCUCCUUCCAGAGUUAUAGUUGUCUCUUUUUGGAAUAUGAAUAGAUAAUAUCAUAAUCAUAAAUGUGAUCCAAUUAGGAUCAACUAAUUGUUGUCUUAUUUAAGUUUUUUCGAUUAUUGUGGAUUUGUAAUGAUUUUUACUGGAUGGUGUUGUUUUGAUAGAUUGGAUGAACUAAUGAAUAGGCAUGAACACUUUCUUAUCAUGUGCUUACAGGAAGAAGGGACAGUGGGCGUUUAAUGUUGGCGGUGUGGUUCUACCGUCACCGUCCACCUCAGUAGAGGAGUCAUUGGCAUAUUUCAAUUCCAAUGGUCUUGACGUUUGGUACAUGACUACUUUUCUAGGUAACUUAUCAUUUUCCCCUUUGGAUCUUUCUCUAGCUUCUUUUACAAGUCUAGGCUCUCUAUUCAUUUAAUUCAAUAAAAGUUGUUCUGUAUUUGAUCCUCCUCAGAUGCUCAGGUUCAAGCUAGAUUCUUAAGCUUGCUAUUGGCUACGAGAAGUAUGUCAAGUCAUCUUAUUUGAAAAGGUGAUUUUCUCUGGAAUUAGUAUGUUUAUAGGUAUAUAAUUUUUCAGUGAAAUGACUCUUUUUUUGGGUCCAAAUCAUACAUUGAAAUUGGAAGAGCUUGGCAUAAAACUUUUAUGGUCGUUGCAUCUUGAAGCUAACUUGGUUUCUCUAAUCUAGAAAACCACACUACUCGAUUUGACAUAAUCAGGCAGAUGUACAAUAUAUUUUAUUGGUUUUUUGUCAGUUAUUUCUUUUUAAUUUCGGGUCAUCUCUUAUAUAAUCCAUGAUAUAUUGAUUAACAACAAAAAUGAGAAAUUUGUGACAUGUGCAUUGCUAAGCCAAGGUUUUUUUAUAUAAACUUCUUAUCUUACAAAAGAGCUUAUUUUUUGUUGAAGAUGUCAAGUGAACACCAAGGCCGUAGUUAAUGUUAUAAUUUUCACCCUCGAAGCAAAAGUUAUAAUUUGUCACAUUACUUUGUUUCUUUGUUUUAAACUAUACCAAAAACUCAAGUAUUACAUUUCAUAUUUGCAUUUUGAGAUACUUGACUAUGCAGUUGACAGAACUUUCUGAGGAAGAUAAGAAAACGUUGGUUUUUUUUUUUUUUUUCAACAAAGAAGCAGAGGCGUUUGGUCAAACAAGAACAUCCCCCCCUCCCCCACACCAUUUUAUGCCAAUUUACUGAUUAAAAGAACCCUAUUUUGGUAUAUAGGUAGAUGAUCAUAACUUUUUCAUAUUUGCAGAUCUGGUAAGAGAAUAGUGGUGUAAUGAUGUUAAUAUCCUUUUCAUCGUGUCUCAAACCUGUCUGCAAAUAACAUUGAAGACAAAAAAUAACAACUGAUCUUUAUUAAGAUUGGAGAAGGAGUAAAGAUUGUUUAAGACUAGAAGAGACUAUAUGAUGAAAACAAAGAGGAAGAGUUUCAAAAAAAAAAGAAGCAAGAGGAAGAAAUAGAUGUAGGCGUAUGGAUAGAUACAUAUGAAGAGGGAGACGUAAUAUCAAUUGUCCGAGAUCGAUAGAGGUAGAUAUGCAGGAUUACGCUUGGGUUUAUAGAAUUUGCACAUUGACUUAUCAAUAUAGCUAAUUAUACUUUCUUUCAUAGUCAUCUAGUGCAAAUUCCCUUAAAAAAGUAAUCAAUAAGAAGAUGGACUUUUUGAACAUUUCGUUGAGUGAAAGACCCAUGAACAUUUAGUUGAUAUUUUACCCAACCUAAGACUAUGAAUAUUUGUUUCAAUACUCAGCACCUUUUUAUUUUCAACAUUCCAUAACAUGUUUUCCCACCUAAUAAUUUAAUAUUCUUUUAAUCUCUAUAAUGAUUUUGUAUACUAAAAUAAAUCAACAGAGCCUCUAACAAAAAUAAUUACUAUUAAAAGUCAAAAGACAAGUAAAAUUUGCUAGUCAUAAGCAAGGCACGUAAGACAUACCAUAUAUGUAGUUAUUUCAAUGAUAAAAUGGCUAGGAUUUUUACUCAGAUUGCUACAAUUUCAUAUUAUAAGAAAAAAUAAUAUAUCUUAUUUCGCUGUUAAGAGGUUUUGUAUAGAGAUACAAUGAAAAAAACUUUGAAACCAAAUAAAAUUUAGAAAGCAAAUAAACUUCGAAAAUCAAUUGUGUUUUAUUGUUGAGGACAAAUUUGGCAUGUUGAGUACACAACUAACAUGUAACAGAAACUUGUUUAUUGCUGAGUACAAAUUUGGCAUGUAGAAAAUAGUUUAGAUUGAUGGUCACAAAGAGUUAUAAAAUAUUGGGAAAGUCUCAUUCGUUUUAUUUCCCAAGACCUGACAUCUCUCUAUAGCUUUCUCCCUUUGCCUACAAGCUCCUAUAAUCAAUAACGGUUACCUCUUCCUCUGGAGCAUCUAGGUCUUGGUAGCUGCAUCAUAUUUUUCAGUAACAUUAGUUUCUUAUAGAAACUACUCUCUUGUUCAAAGGUAACCGACUCUGGGUUGAAAGCAAUGUGUGAUGAUCAUACUCAUAGCGUAGAGUGAAACACAUUACCUGCGUAGCCGUCUAGGAUCCUGUCUAAAGGCCGGAGACAAAAGGAAAGGGGCUGGUCCACCUCUGCCACCACCUUCUAAAGGAGGGUUGGGUCCGCUUGGGUCCCUGAACAUCUGCAUUGCAAACUCAGGUGGUGCUGGUACAAAUGGUCCUAGUGGCCUGUCCACAUCAUCAUUCAGACAACAUUACAGAUCACUAGAGUUAUACUAAGAUCAUGUGAGAGUGAGUAGUCAUUGCUAAACCUACCCGGCACCGGGAACAGGCAUCAGCACUGGCGGUGCGUUCAUAUCAGCAGAGUAGGAAGGAACAUGAACGCCGCCUUGUCCACCAAAUGCAUCGUAACCACCUUCCUCUGGAUUUGGACCAUUAGGACCGUUACCAUCACCUCUCUGCUGAUCCUCUGACCGAUCAAUUCUGUCACGCUCUCUGCGUCCACCUCGAUCAUCCCUCAAUCUGCUCUCCAUGCUUGGUUUACGUCUCAUCAUAGGUCUAUCUCUCUGCCAAUGGUAUGUUCCACCCACGUAAAUAAAACUCAAAAUUAUAGACUACUCAACAUUCGAUCAACUGAUGAAAAACAUCAUUUACCGGGCCAGGUUGCUGCGUGGCUGGUUGUCCUCCUGGAGCAUUAGGAUCACUGCAAAUGGCACACAAAUAUUUCAUUACAACCCGAUCAGAAAUAACAGAAGAGGAAAUCCACUAGAAACGGCCUACAUACUUCAUAUAGUUCUGAAAAUACAGUUCUUCUCGCACUUUGACAGUCAUAUCAACUAUAAGCUCAGCGUGCUUCAGCUUGAGAUGCUUGUGAACAAAUUCAGCAGCAUGAAACAGUUUCGUGCAGCCUUUAGCUCCACACCCAUAUUUCCAACCAUACUUCUCAUCCCUAAUCUUUCGGACAUGUGGAUCUAAAGCUUCAAUAGCAGCAGCAUCUAGCUUCUCUUUGGCAGCCAACACUUCCAGUGGAUCUUGACCUUUCAACCUCUGUUGCCAAUGAGAAUCAAAUUUAUCUUCGCCCUCAUCUCCUUUUGCAUCAGAGCCUUUUCCUUCCGCUCUCACAUGCCGCAGACCCUUAGCUUCGCUUGUUUCAACCUUUCCGUAAUAGUCCACACCAUGAACACGCCAGAGAUACGUGAUAAGAGUGUCAAGCAAUUCAACACCCUCAAGGCCUUUCACAGAUGUCAAACCUCUUAUGAUUAUAACUGGACCUGUCGAACCACUGUGCGACUUAUCUUUAUCCGACUUUUCAGUUUCUGAGCCUGAUAAAACAUUCUCCACAAUUCCUUUCUCAGAGUCCAGCUUACGAACAAGGGCUUGUGCUUGUUCGAUGUCGGUUAGGAUUCUCUUUGGAUCAGAAGUGAAGCUGGGUGCUUUUGGUGCCGCUGAAAAGUCAAUCUCUUUACCUCUUUUGCCACCACCACCACCACCUGCUUCAUCCUCAGACUUUGGCUCACUUGUUUUAUUCAAUGCUGUCACUGCAGGACCUCUGGAACAGAUCGAAGAACACACUGUGGGCUUUAGAGAUGGCAGAAUUAUCAUAAUCAUAAAUGCGGAGUAGAGGCCAAGGAAAUGAUCUUACAAAUCAAGAUUCCCGCUCUGUAAGUCAAGUGAGAAGUCCUUCGCCAGCUUCCGUGCAUGUUCAUUCCUCCUGAAAAUUUAAAGGAAUAGAUAAAGAAAAUAAGAUAUCAUAUUACACAAAACAGACUAACUGCUGCAAUUUUCAAAGGAAUUGAACUCACUUUUCUAUGACAGUUAGCAAGUUGGUUGGAUGAUACUUGUCUUUUAACCUGGAAGCGUAACAUAAUAUAAGCAUGAAUUUCCCAAAAGAAAGCAAACGAUGGGAACAGAUAGUGGAAAUCACCAUUCUUCCUCUUUGUGAGUGUUAAAAUAGACACGCUUCUGUGUUGUGAUAUACUCUGACUUGUAUUCUUGAUAUCUGCAACAAACAGAAAAAAAAAAGACAUUACCCCUGCAGCUUUAAGUACAAAGACAAUUUUGCAAUUAUAACCAUACCUGCGUUCAGCUUCUGAUGGCAAUAUAUCAUCUUCCAGCUCCUGGAUAAACUGUUUGUAUGACAUCAAUCCGUCCCUGGAUUAAAGAAAUACAACGGUGUUUACAGCUAUAACAACGGCAAGGGCGUCUACAAACAGCCUCUAUCUUAAAAAGUGAAAGAGAACAAAAAAGACGGCUUUAUCUGGAACUUAAACAGCUGAAAUAGAGAUGAUAGACUUCAACAUCUCAAACAUUCACUCUAACAUACAACUCUUUACAAGGGAUGUAUCUCCCUUUCACUGAGCAUCAUUCAUACUUCCUAGUUUGCACAUUCACUAGACCAAAAAAGAACAUAAUAGAAGAGGGAACUCUGACCUUUGAGUACUUCCUCUGUUAGAUGCAUCACCAUAACCUCCACGACCUCCCUCCCAGUCUUGAUAUCUCCCCGUAAAGCGGCCAGGAGGUCUUUCAUCACCGUAACCAUGCCUUCCUCCCAUUUCACGGUCAUUCUCAUAUCCAAAUCUAUCAUCGAAACUUAAGAAUCAGAAACGCAAUUCGAUCUUCUAUACAAACUAUUAGGUAGCAACAACGCAACGUCUUAGAUCAGAUUGGCGUUUCGAAGCAUAUAGGAGAUGAAGAUUGAUUACCUUCUAUCGGGAGGUCCAUAGCCACCACCACCACCACGCCGACCAUCGUAUCCAUUAUCGUCCCUCCGGUAUCGCUUGGAAGGAGGAGGCGAGCGGCGCAUGGGAGGAGAGUGCCGCCUGUCUCUGUACGGCGGCGGAGGGCUCCCGCUAGGCCGCCUCUUGUAGUCCCUGCGGGGCGGCGGCGGCGGGAGGGGAGAACGGUCACGGCGAUUAGGCGGACGUUCUAGGUCUCUGUCGUCGCGCCUCUCGCGGGAAUCUCUCUGAGGAGGCUGCUGCUGCUCUUGCGGCUCGUGUUCCUGCGGUGGAGGUGGAAGAGAGGGGGUAUUCUCCGGGGGACGGAUGUCGACGGAAUCCGGCGGAGGGAGCGUCACAUCGGCCAUUUAAGAGAAGAAGAUCGGAACCCUAAAUCGGGGUGUCAGGUUUGGUGCGAUACACACUCUCGC